rnacentral:rRNA from 1 species
GUGCAGCAGUCGAGAAUUUUUCACAAUGGGGGCAACCCUGAUGGAGCGACGCCGCGUGGAGGAUGAAGGCUUUCGGGUUGUAAACUCCUGUCAUUUGAGAACAAGUGUAGCCAACUAACUAUUGGCUACUUGAUAGUAUCAGAAGAGGAAGGGACGGCUAACUCUGUGCCAGCAGCCGCGGUAAUACAGAGGUCCCAAGCGUUGUUCGGAUUCAUUGGGCGUAAAGGGUGCGUAGGUGGCGCCGUAAGUGGGGUGUGAAAUUUCGGAGCUUAACUCCGAAACUGCAUUCCAUACUGCGGUGCUUGAGGACUGGAGAGGAGACUGGAAUUCAUGGUGUAGCAGUGAAAUGCGUAGAGAUCAUGAGGAAGACCAGUGGCGAAGGCGGGUCUCUGGACAGUUCCUGACACUGAGGCACGAAGGCUAGGGGAGCGAACGGGAUUAGAUACCCGUGUAGU